UUAACUUUACUGAAGAAUAAAGAACACCUAUUUUCAUAAGGCAGAGCUUAGAAACCCUUUUAAAUGCUUGGUGAAAAGAACUCAAAUCUGCUCCUGCAUUUCCUCUGCACAAGAUGAGCAAAACCCCCAAAGAAAAAGCUCAGAAAAAGUGUGUGGAAUCUGAUAUGCAAGGAACAGAAUACAAUGAUCACUUUGCAAGAGGUUCUGAGAAACGUGCCAGAGAGGUGAAUAUUGUUAACACAGGUGCAACUUUUACUGGUGAUGGUAAUGGCUCUCACUACGUAAAUUGUCAAAUUGAUAUGAAGUCGGAUUUUAAGUCAUCACCCUCUCCUAUGAAGGUGCAAAGGUCCCCAAGUUGAAGUUGAAGCAAUAGAUUUAUCAGAAUCUGUUUGUAUGGGCUUACAUAUAAAGUACAUGGUUGAUCUUAUAUAUUUAUCAGAAAAAAAUGAAUGAAUAAAAUUAGGACGGUUAAAGGAUACACAAUCCUAUUAAAAAAGAAACACUGUAUGUCAACCUGAUUUUAUAUAUAUUUGUGAAAGUUAAGACAAUAUCUACUCUAUAGUUUCUAAUGUAAUGAAGAAGGGUAAGGACACCUAAAGUCUUACUAUAUUUAUAUGUAUAUAUUUUCCAAUAAAAAAAUAGUUUCUGAAAAUAAAAAACAAUGUAACUUUGAAUUCAUUUAUAAAAUCAGUAUAGCAAUGAUAACUAUAAUUAUAAAUAA
rnacentral:lncRNA from 1 species